UACGUAGGGUGCGAGCGUUGUCCGGAAUUAUUGGGCGUAAAGGGCUCGUAGGCGGUCUGUUGCGUCAGGAGUGAAAACUCGGGGCUUAACCCCGAGCCUGCUUCUGAUACGGGCAGACUAGAGGUAUGCAGGGGAGAACGGAAUUCCUGGUGUAGCGGUGAAAUGCGCAGAUAUCAGGAGGAACAUCGGUGGCGAAGGCGACAUCCUGGACCGGUAUUGACGCUGAGGCGCGAAAGCCAGGGGAGCAAACGGG
rnacentral:rRNA from 1 species